UUUUUUUUUUUUUUAAACGGAAAGCUGUAGGUAUGUUAAUGUCAACAUUGUUGCAUAAUGCCAAGUUGACUUAUUACACUUGAUGGUAGUUCCAUCAUUUUUCUUCUUCUUAAAUUAAAUACCCUAAAAAUAUAAUACUCUGUAAAGGUAAAUGUAUAGUUCAUUGUAAGAUGAUAAUUAAAAAUUAAGGAAUAUAUUAAGUUUCGAUGAUAAUUAAAAAUUAAGGAAUAUAUUAAGUUUCGUGUCUAAGUUAAAUGAACUUAUUUU
rnacentral:lncRNA from 1 species